UUGGCCUCCAAGGUCUUCACUCUUCUUCUUCACUCUACUUUUCAUUAUAAACAACCAUUUUCUUUUCCGUUUCUUUUAUCCAAAAUUAGUUUAACCAAAACUGAACACCACCCCCCCUCCAUGGUUUUCUGUUUCGUUCGAACCACCACCAUCAGCCACUGAAACCAACCACUGCCACCACCGUUAACCACCACCUAUGUCUCACCUACCGCCCUACUACCACUUCUCAUCCACCACCGUAGCAGCCACCCCCCUUAGUGCUCUCCUCUCCUCGCAGCUCCGCAAAUCCCCUCCCCUGCCUCCCUCUUUUCUUCCCAGUGUUGCACCACCACAACCACGCCACCACUUCCCAUCCACCGCACCACCCCUCUAUUAAAUCUCCGCCCCCAAAUACUCCGGCGAACCAUUGCGCCGCCGCCCAAAACCGCCCAACUCACCACCCCUUCCCUGUUUUCCCCUGUUCGCGCAACACCCCCCCUCCCUUCCUCGUUAUCCUCCGCCGCUUAACCACCAUCGCCAUCACCGGCGAUACCCUGCGGCGCCGCCCUACCCCAGUCACCAGCCACCACACAAGCCGGCGUCGAGUCAGCCAGCCACACUUCCUUCCUCCCUUCGUGCUUCCCUUAGCCGUGCACCCCUCCCCUGUUCUUGCCCCCUUCCUUGUUUCUCUGCCGCCGCGAAACCACCCCCCACAUCCGUCGCAUCUCCGGCACGGCUCCGGUGCUGCUGCGCCACCCAGUACCGAACCCAGCUCCCUCCUCCCUCCUCUCUUUCCUCUGUCGUGUUUCCCUUCCCAGAAACCAAAAACCAAAUUUUGGUUUUACAACUUUGAUUUUAUUCUCAUCCAACCCAUAUUCAGUUGGGCCCAAAAACUCCAAAACUUUGGGCUUUAGAAAUCGGACUUGGAGCUCAGGAAGAAUGAUUCAUCAGACGGGAAAUAUAAAACUACGGUUGAGGUACUGCGGGGAACGAUGGAAUCGAGUAGUGGCGAGGAAUUUCACCUUAGUAUUAAUCACCUAGCUUAUGCUUAAUGUUUUAAUAGUUUAAUUAAAGAACCUUAGUAAGUUAUGUACUUUUAUUUUGGGAAUAUAAAGGAUUAUUAUAUCAAUUUUGGAGGAUUUAAUAGCUUAUGA